ACCAGACUCCUACGGGAGGCAGCAGUGGGGAAUAUUGCACAAUGGGGGGAACCCUGAUGCAGCGACGCCGCGUGGGUGAAGGAGUAUUUCGGUAUGUAAAGCCCUGUCAGCAGGGAAGAAAAUGACGGUACCUGAAGAAGAAGCCCCGGCUAACUACGUGCCAGCAGCCGCGGUAAUACGUAGGGGGCAAGCGUUAUCCGGAUUUACUGGGUGUAAAGGGGGCGCAGACGGCGAUGCAAGCCAGGAGUGAAAGCCCGGGGCCCAACCCCGGGACUGCUCUUGGAACUGCGUGGCUGGAGUGCAGGAGGGGCAGGCGGAAUUCCUGGUGUAGCGGUGAAAUGCGUAGAUAUUAGGAGGAACACCAGUGGCGAAGGCGGCUUACUGGACGGCAACUGACGCUGAGGCUCGAAAGCGUGGGGAGCAAACAGGAUUAGAUACCCCGGUAUUC
rnacentral:rRNA from 1 species